rnacentral:rRNA from 1 species
UAAUUAUAUAUAUGAUGUUUUUUAACUCUCAUUAUAUAUAUUGUGUAAACAAUUAAUAAUUUAAAUAUAAUUCUAGAUAAAAUAUUGAUAAUGACAACUUUUAUCUAAAAGUCUUGACCAAAUCUUGUGCCAGCAGUCGCGGCAACACAAGGAAGACAAGUGUUAUUCAUCUUAAAUCGGUUUAAAGGGUACCUAGACGGUAAAUUAGGCCUAGAAGGCACGUUUUUACUAGAGUUAUACAUGCAAGAGGAUUAUGUCAGUAUUACCAGAGUAGAGAUAAAAUUUUUUGAUACUGUUAAGACUGGUAAAGGCAAAAGCAAACCUUUAUAUAUUAACUGACGUUGAGGGACGAAGGCUUGGGGAGCAAACAGGAUUAGAUACCCUAAUAGUCCAGGCAGAGAAUUAUGAGUGUCAUAGAUUACACACAUGUGUGUGGAUUCUAUAAAUGAAAGUGUAAGCACUCCACCUUAAGAGUAAUGUGGCAACGCAGGAACUGAAAUCAUUAGACCGUUUCUGAUACCAGUAGUGAAGUAUGUUAUUCAAUUUGAUGACCCACAGAGAAUCUUACCACAAUCUGAAUAUGUUUAAAUUAUAAUUAAAAAUUAGAUUUAAUCAUACUAGCGUUGCAUUGCUGUCUUCAGUUAAUGUUGUGAAAUUUGGUUAGAUUCAUUAAAUUAACGUAAUCCCAUAUUUUAUUUAAAUAUUUAUAAAGUAGUUCACCGCUAUAUUGGAUAUCGAUAACAGGGAGUAAGACAAGUCAUAAUGACCUAAG